rnacentral:rRNA from 1 species
AGUCGUAACAAGGUUUCCGUAGGUGAACCUGCGGAAGGAUCAUUACAGUAUUCUUUUGCCAGCGCUUAACUGCGCGGCGAAAAACCUUACACACAGUGUCUUUUUGAUACAGAACUCUUGCUUUGGUUUGGCCUAGAGAUAGGUUGGGCCAGAGGUUUAACAAAACACAAUUUAAUUAUUUUUACAGUUAGUCAAAUUUUGAAUUAAUCUUCAAAACUUUCAACAACGGAUCUCUUGGUUCUCGCAUCGAUGAAGAACGCAGCGAAAUGCGAUAAGUAAUAUGAAUUGCAGAUUUUCGUGAAUCAUCGAAUCUUUGAACGCACAUUGCGCCCUCUGGUAUUCCAGAGGGCAUGCCUGUUUGAGCGUCAUUUCUCUCUCAAACCCCCGGGUUUGGUAUUGAGUGAUACUCUUAGUCGGACUAGGCGUUUGCUUGAAAAGUAUUGGCAUGGGUAGUACUAGAUAGUGCUGUCGACCUCUCAAUGUAUUAGGUUUAUCCAACUCGUUGAAUGGUGUGGCGGGAUAUUUCUGGUAUUGUUGGCCCGGCCUUACAACAACCAAACAAGUUUGACCUCAAAUCAGGUAGGAAUACCCGCUGAACUUAAGCAUAUCAAAAAGUCG